GUUAUAGCCCGCUUGGUAGAGUGCUUGCCUUGCAUGCACAAGGCCCUGGGUUCAAUCCCCAGCACAACA
rnacentral:tRNA from 1 species